rnacentral:lncRNA from 1 species
AUUAUUUUCCAUAGUGAUCAGGCAUUCAACACAAAGGAGGGGCAACUGCAUACGUCAGAAGGCAGCUGCCAGGUAAAUAUUUUCCUGACUCCAAAGAGAUGUUAUGGGCUUUCACUCAGGGAUGGAAUUGCCCAGUCAGCAGGCGUGCCCCGGAUGAAAGCAGGACGAGAGGAGGACCCUGCCCAGGAGGACACCUCACCGAGAGGUUCCCGGAUGAGAGGAUGAGCACGGCAGCUCUGCAAGGACUGUGUACUGGGAGAACCCCGUUAUCGUCUUCUUGGGGUGAAGCCAGAGACGUGUACUUGUGGGCUAGCAAAUUCCUAGAAGCAAGGAAUGCGACACAAGCCUCAGCUCCAGAGAAACCGAAUUUAUUUUGGAAAAUGUCUCAGGUGCACAGGGCCAGGCUGCUGGAAGAACUCUGCAGUGACUCCGCUCGGCUGGCCGAGGCUGGAGACGGUGUUCAGUCUCUUCAGGAAUGAGGCAGCGGACGCGGGAGGGCUUGCCGAGUCUUGUUCAAAGAGACGCUGGGAGGCAAAAAGUCUCAGUGAGGGGCCGCCUGCGCUGAGGUGUGGAGAGCACGUGGGAGGAGGAUGGGCUCGGGACGCCGGCAAGUGCUCUUUUGUUUGAGGAAGGAGGCACUUGCCACAAGCAAAAGGAGAAGGUUGGGGGCCAGCUCAUCCCGCUUUGCCUGGGACUCUCCCCACUUACGCAUGGAAAGUUCCACCCUCAGGAAACCCCUUAUUCCUGCACAAACAGAGACAGCUGUUCCCCAGGCCCCAGCACUGACUUGAGUCUAAUGAGCCCCCUAAAGGUAUUUCCAAUGGCAAGGCCAAGGCCACAGCUCUGUCUCCUCGGGGACGGGGAAGGGCCUUGUCUGUAAACUACCCCCAAGGAGGCAACAUAAAAAGAGACGCCUUUGCUGGAGAUGAGCUUGGCUGCCCCAACGAGACUCCAGGCAACGGGCUUCUGCACAGUAAAAGGUUAUCCCUUGUCCCCGUAGCAGGUGGACUCACACAGUUCUGAGCUAGUGUGGUGGCUCCACAGAGCCGGGGGUUCAAGUUCUUUCUAUCUUGCCGCUCCACCAUCACCAGGGCGUCACCCUUGUCCACAGGGACUACCCUGUUCAUGUCCUUCACCGUGCCAUGUCUGGCUUCUCGGCUCUCCCAUCCCCCAUGUACACAAUUCCCUAUAUUAAGUUCCCUCUGGCCAAGAGUCUAGAGAGGUUUCUGCUCUCUGGGUUGGGUGCUGACUGGUACCGUCUGACCUGAAAAUGGUAAGAACCGCAGAGAGAGAAAUGGGCAAGAGAAUGCCACAAACACACCCAUUUCAGACACAUCUGAAGAAGGGAGACAGCACAGAGGGGCCUGGGCAUUCAGCGGCUAGAUCUGAGAUGGAGCGAAUGUCUCGCGUGUGUUGUCCAUGGGUAGGUAGAUGGUUUGAGCUGAGUGAAGCUGCAGCAUCUCAGCCUGGAUGGAGGCUGUGUCAAGGAGCUCCUGAGUAGGGGAUCCCAAGAUUGGAGUGAACUCAAAGGGAGCGGGCAGGCCUGGGGUGAGGAGGACAGGUGGUACUCAAUAGGUUGGCUGGAGGAAGCAGGAGUGGAUGCCAGGAAGGUUCUAGAAGGGGCAGGCAGUGGGGUGGUCAGGAAAACAUGCCUACAUGUCCAGGACAUUGGAAAGAGGAGGAGAGAGCCACAGAGUCAAUAAAGGGAGGUGGCAGGAGACUCCUGGAUGACGA